GCUGGUGCUUUAUAAUAGAUGACAGGAUACCCUGGACGGUGGUGACGUGAUUGCAAGACGUUAUUACCGUUUACAUA
rnacentral:sRNA from 1 species